rnacentral:rRNA from 1 species
AACGAACGCUGGCGGCAUGCCUAACACAUGCAAGUCGAACGAGACCUUCGGGUCUAGUGGCGCACGGGUGCGUAACGCGUGGGAACCUGCCCUUAGGUUCGGAAUAACUCCCCGAAAGGGGUGCUAAUACCGGAUAAUGUCGUCGGACCAAAUAUUUAUCGCCUUUGGAUGGGGCAGCGUUGGAUUAGCUAGUUGGUAGGGUAAAGGCCUACCAAGGCGACGAUCCAUAGCUGGUCUGAGAGGAUGAUCAGCCACACUGGGACUGAGGCACGGCCCAGACUCCUACGGGAGGCAGCAGUGGAGAAUAUUGGACCAUGGGCGAAAGCGUGAUCCAGCUAUGCCGCGUGAGUGAUGAAGGCCUUAGGGUUGUAAAGCUCUUUUACCCGGGCUGAUAAUGACAGUACCGGGAGAAUAAGCACCGGCUAACUCCGUG